GCGAAGACUUACUCACGGCCAUCUGCUUUGUUCUUUACAUUUAUAAACGAUAUUUCGAGAGAUCUUUCGCAAUAUCUUUUGUGUCAUUUAGGUCUCCACAAAUAAAAGGGCUUAGAUCGCCGACAAGGAGUGAACAACAAGAAGAGAGCAACAUCACUAGUUGCUAAAAAAGAAAAAAUAAAAAGACACCAGUUUGCAGAGUCAAAAGAUGAAGAGUAAAGUGGUAGGGAAAGUCAUCUGUGUCAUAUUUCUAUUGGUAAUGCUGGCCUACGAAGGUGAAUGCAUGGGAAACAUGGUUCCAGGGGGAAAACGAAGACUGGAUAUCAACAAGUUCAGAAAUGCUAAAGGCUCUCUAUGCAGGGCUUUGGAAUGUUCCGACUUUACAAUGACUAUGACGCCACUGGCCGAGAGACAAAGAAAGAACAAAGAGUCACAAAGAGACAACACAGGACAGAAUAUAUAUUAAAAGAAACUCGCGAUCGUACCUUUGCUAACUGCCCUAGAACGGAUUUAAGAAUGAUAAUUAUAACGAAGAUAAGUACUGUUAUCAAAAGGAUCCUUUUUAAAUGAUAAAAAUGCAAAUAGAAUUAGAACGAAAAUAAGAUAAAACAUAACUUUGGCUAAUGCUAACCUACAGUAAAUAAGUUAUACGCAAUGCUAAUCAUUAGGAGACUUCCUAAAUAAUACUCUACUGCUGAUGUGCAUGUGUUUUAAGGUAAAGAGUUGAAAGAUGAAGCGCCUUAUAAAUAAAAACUUUACCGAG